UAUCGGUGGACGUUUAGACAAAGGACCGUAUGGGAUGUAAUGUAGAGAUUAGAUCCAAACAUCCCCAAUGAUGUUGGCUUUUUUUGCUCGACGCCGAAACCCUUUGAGUGCCAGAUGGGCUCACGCUGCUUACCACACCUCAGUUUAAAAGACUACACAUUGACGUAAGACGUGAUGCUUUACACCUUCUUCUCAUCCGUAGAAACGUGUGCUCUCUGUACCCUGUAUUUUUGUCAAAUCUCAGUCUGCCUAACAGGAAAGGAUUAUUGCACCUGAAAUGGUUUAUCAUUUUAAAUUGCACUAUGAACGCAUCUCAGUAAUUGUAAGUCUCAUGUGGAAGGGAUUGUUCUAUCUUACUACGUGUUUUCUGAAGACUCUGAAAUGUUUUCUAUGGUCUAGGAGAAACUAACAAGUUUGUGAUUGUGUGUAUUCUCAUGGGGCAUUAAGGAGUCGCCAGUGGGCACCAAGUCCAAAACAUCUCUCAUAGUCCAGUUAUUUUGGACAAAAAUGGAUGUCUCGCCACUAACUGUGCCGAUCUAGCUUAUUAGGGUCACUUGUGUGUUAGCUUUAGGCUCUCUUUGAUUAAAACCUCAUCUGCUUCUGUGUAAUAGUGCAUUUAAAGCCCUAUGCUCAACUAAAUCUUAAGUAAUUAAGGGUAGUUUGUGAAUAUCUAUAUGAGUGAUUGUGCCCUUGCUGCCUUACCAGGGACAUACAAACAACCUCCGUCCAACUAGACUGUUGGAAAAUAGCGUAGUAUAAGAAGUUUUAGAUUACAUUAAUGGCAAUUGGGUGUUUGCCACACCAGUUUAUAUGUAGUCAAGUGUUGAGUGUAGAGAGAUUGAAACUCCAGAAAAGGUUUUAAAAGUGAUCCUAACAUUAUGGGUCAAAGGAAUAGCACAUUGAAUAAAUCCAUUGGGUGGUACGAUGAUUUUUUCCUCAACAGGAUAACUUCUCAAAUAUAAAAUGUUUUGUUCCAAAUUUACAAUGUUAGUCGCAAUUACUACUCUUGGUAGACAACAGUAGUUACCCGAUACACACAAAAUAGUUCUGUAGCAGACUUUGCCUUUCCAGAGAGCUGGCGUUCUUAAAACUAACCGCGUUCGUUGGAUCGGGGAUAAAUCGCCACGCUCACAGUUCAUCCGUCCCAGCACUGCAGACAACCACCUUUGGGAUCUUUACACUAUACAUUUCCUUUCUUAGGAUGCCAAAUGUAUAUUGACGCUUUUUUUUCUUCAUUUAUAUUUCAAUUUAGCAGUAUUGAUAUGUACAUUUUGUUAACCCUUUGAGUGCUAGAGGUGUAGGCAGCUCUUACACUCUGGCACUAGAGGGAAUGCUUUUUUUUAUUAUUAUUUGUCAGUGUUUACAGGUUAUUUUUGUUUCCAAUCUUACAUUAUGUGUUCUACUUUGGAGAGUUUGUGUAACUGCCUUUUUUUUUUUGUAGACAUGAUAUAUAUAAUGAUAUAUUAGAUUAUUAGCAUGCUCGCUUUGCUAUGAGAUGUGUUGAGGGAGAAGUUAAUGGAUGUUUGCUAUCGUGUGCUCCUGUUGAAUUCUACAAACCUAAAAAUGCCCCGUUACUGACUUUUACCUUAAACUUGUUCAACAAACGGUACUUGUAAUUUUCUUUAGAUAAGGGUUCGUAAAUUGCCCAAUUAAGGAUCUCCUAAAGUGCUUUUCUCUCUUGUGGACUUUGAAAGAUAAUUGCAAAUUUUAUCUCGUAAAAGACAAGAUAUUCAGAAAGUAAUUUUUGUUCAAAACAGACUUUCUUGACCUGCCUCUCUUUGUCCACUUAUUGUGUAUUGUUCUGGUUUCACAUUAAAACUGUAGGAUGUGUUAAUCUGCCUUUCCCCUUUUUAUUAUUUAAUCUCUACUUUAUUUUAUACGUGAACAGUGUUCAUUGGUAAAGAACUUAAACAUCAGGCUCAUGCAGUGAUUUACAAUCAGGAAAUAAAACAGAAAUAUCCCAAAA